rnacentral:lncRNA from 10 species
GGCAGUUUUUUCUUUCUGGCGGGUUCAUGGUCUCGCUGGUUCAAAAGUGAAACUACAGACCUUCGCGGUGAGUGUUACAGCUCUUAAGUCUGCGCCUCCGGAGUUGUUCAUUCCUCCUGGUGGGUUCGUGGUCUCCCUGGCCUCAGGAGUGAGACUGCAGGCUUCCACCGUGAGUGUUACAGCUCAUAAAGGUAGCACAGACCCAAACACUGAGCAGCAGUAAGAUUUACUGCAGAGUGAAAGAACAAAACCUCCACACUAUGAAACGGAAUCUGAGUGGGUUGCCACUGCGAGCUUGGGCAGCCUGCUUUUAUUCACUUAUCUGGCCCCACCCACAUCCUGCUGAUUGGUCCAUUUUACAGAGAGCCGAUUGGUCUGUUUUACAGAGAACUGAUUGGCCCGUUUUGGCAGGGUGCUGAUUGGUGUGUUUACAAUCCCUGAGCUAAACACAAAAGUUCUCCACAUCCCCACUGGAUUAGCUAGAUACAGAGUGCUGAUUGGUGCAUUUACAAACCUUGAGCUAGAUACAGGGUGGCGAUUGGUGUAUUCGCAAUCCCUUCGCUAGACAUAAAGGUUCUCCAGGUCCCCACCAGAUCAGCUAGACACAGAGCGCUGAUUGGUGCACUUACAAACCUUGAUCUAGACACAGAGUGCUGAUUGGUGCAUCCACAAACCUUGAGCUAGAUACAGAGCGCCAAUUGGUGUAUUCGCAAUCCCUUAGCUAGACAGAUUCUCCAAGUCCCCACCAGAUUAGCUAGACACAGAGCGCUGAUUGGUGCAUCCAUAAACUCUGAACUAGACACAGGGUGCUGAUUGGUGAGUUUACAAACCUUGAGCUAGAUACAGAGUGCCGAUUGGUGUAUUUACAAUCCCUUAGCUAGACAUAAAUGUUCUCCAAGUCCCCACUAGACUCAGGAGCCCAGCUGGCUUUACCCAGUGGAUCCCGCAUCAGGGCCGCUGGUGGAGCUGCCUGCCAGUCCCGCGCACUGCGCCCGCACUCCUCAGCCUUUGGGCGGUCGAUGGGAUCGGGCGCCGUGGAGCAGGGGGCGGCGCUCGUCUGGGAGGCUCGGGCUACGCAGGAGCCCAUGGCGGCAGGGGGGUGGGGGGAGGCUCAGGCAUAGCAGGCUGCAGGUCCUGAGCUCUGCCCGGCGGGGAGGCAGCUAAGGCCUGGAGAGAAAUCGAGCGCAGCGCCGGUGGGCAGGCACUGCUGGGGGACCCGGCGCACCCUCCGCAGCUGCUGGCCCGGGUGCUAAGCCCCUCACUGCCCGGGGCCGGCGGCCCGGCCGGCCGCUCCGAGUGUGGGGCCCGCCAAGCCCAUGCCCACCCGGAACUCUAGCUGGCCCGCAAGCGCCGCACGCAGCCCAGGUUCCCGCCCAUGCCUCUCUCCACACCUCCUCGCAAGCUGAGGGAGCCGGCUCCGGCCUCGGCCGUCCCAGGAAGGGGCUCCCACAGUGCAGCAGCGGGCUGAAGGGCUUCUCGAGCGCCGCCAGAGUGGGUGCCCAGACAGAGGAGGCGCCGAGAGGGAGCGAGGGCUGCGAGGGCUGCCAGCAGGCUGUCACCUCUCAGUUUCAGGGCAACAGGCCCACCCCGAAUAGUCCUGGAGCCAAAAGGGAACGAGCUUCUUCCUUCAGGUGGGGAAUAGUUCACGGUGCUGCUUCCAACGUAUCUUCUUCCUCGCCGUUUCCUGAGACUUCUCCAAAGCGGGGGCCGUGGCGCGGCGUGCUGUAGGCGCUGUGCUGGCGCCGUCCGGGCUCCCGAGCGGGCUGAGGGCCCUCCCCUGGGGCUGCGCCACCCCGCUCCGAGGCGGGGCCCUUCCUGGAACCGGCUUCCCUGCACCAUUCCUGAUCGGAGGCUGCGAACGGCACAAGCCCCUGCGGCGUUUUGAGUGGGGAAGUGAGCCGGGGCCUGUGCCUCCCGGGGAGCCGUGGGCAGGUGCGUGGCCACGGACUGGGCUCUCGGAGCUUCCCAUAAAACCCCGGAGACCCACUCAGCACGGCUGCGGGCCCAGGCACGCUGGUGCUGGCGCCUCUCAGGCAGGACGACUCCACAGCCAGCGGGAGAACUUUCCAGAUCGCCCUGCGCAGAUGCUCCCCUCGCAUGAAAUCACUGCUCAGCGUUAGCCGCGGGCCAAGCCCCGGCCCAGCCCCAGGGAAUACUUAGGGGACUGCAGGUGCAGGCCGUGGGGGCGGCCGGGCUCGGGCCGGCUCUGCAGACCCCGCUCCACGCAGAGGGCGAUGCUGGGGACUCGCAGAGCUCGAGACCGCUGAGCUUCCCUCACUCAUGUAUGGCUUAAAGUUAUUCAUGCUGAACUCCAGCUUAGCACAUUGUUGCACAAACACAGAUAUUCAUUACCUGGCAUUUUUAUUCAAACUUCCUCAAAGCCAGUUAAGAAUAUCAGAAACACAAGUAAAUUAAUAUUAAUUAUUCAGGUGCUUUAGUCACUUCAUCCAAAGACGUUCCAGCGGCAUGGUUUCUUUGGAUUCAUAUAAUUUUCUUCGUAUUGCCUGGAUUCCACAAGCAUCCGUUCAUGAGACACUGCACGUUGAGACGGUAACGCCCCUAGGCUGCAAUAUAAUGCCCACCUUGCGCUUGCUCACCAGCAUCCACCUCCAAUCCUGGCUAGAAAAGUGCCAUUCUUUUCACUGUUCGAGAAAGGGCAGGACAGUCAUGGAACGCUCAGCGCAGAAAUCUGAAUCCUUAGAUGGACAAACUGUGCUCCCUCCAUUUUUCCGGUUUUGCAGUCUGUGAUCAUUGCUCGAGUUCCACAGGGUGAGAUGUAAAAGACGCUUUUCCUUGUGCUUCUUGGUACACUGAACCGAAAACGAUACUGACUCCCCCAACCUGUAUGUAUGUAUGUAUGUUUGCAUGUAUGUAUUUUGAGACAGAGUCUUGCUCUGUCGCUGAGGCUGGAGUGCACUGGUGCGAUCUCGGUUCACUACAACCUCCGCCUCCCAGGUUCAAGCAAUUCUCCUGCCUCAGCCUCUCAAAUAGCUGGGAUUACAGGCGCGCGCCACCAUGCCAGGCUAAUUUUUGUACUUUUAGUAGAGACGCACUAACUACAUUAGUAGUUUUGCUAUAUUGGCCAGGCUGGCCUCGAACUCCUGACCUCAAGUGAUCCACCCUCCUCGGCCUCCCAAAGUGCUGGGAUUACAGGCGUGAGCCACCACGCCAGGCCUCCCCACGCCGUAUUUAAACACAUUGACGAGGCGUCCAACUUCCUGCAUGCAUCUUAGCAGGAGUGCGCUGUGGGCUCAUUUUUACGGUCUGCACUGGGUUGUGUGUGGCUGGCUCAACUCCAUCUGAACAGCACAGCAAUAUGCCCACUGAAAUGCUCAAUUUUCUGGACUUCCUUGCCCCUAAGUGCAUGUGGCCACAUUCCAGCCAGUGAGGUGAGAAUGGAAGUGGAAUGCCACCUUCAGGGAAGCCUGAUUUAGGAAGCUCACUCUGCACUCCUGGAAUGUGAACAUGAUGACUGGGAUCCCGCAGCCAUCAUGCGUCCUGAGGGGACAGUGAGACUAAGAACUGUGUCAUGGUGGAAUAGAAAAACAGAUCACGGUUCAGCCCGGGAGUUGCGCUGUCCGACCCGAGCUACACGCAGCUCAAUUUCUAUCUUGUGUAGGCCAUUCUUUUCUCCAACCUGUUAGUAGUAAUCAGAACGGUUCCUAAACGAUAUAUGAUGUGAUCUGCACCAUUUCCACGUUUCAGACGAACUAAUCUCAUUAGCAGGGCAGUCCUCAACGCAUUCCACUGUCGCCGCCCUCGCAAGGGCCGCCAGUUUCCAGGAUGAGCAGGCUGAGCCGGCAUCGCUGUCUGGGGACUCCCUAUUCUGAGGAGCCAAACGUCCACACCUGCCUGCAUUGCUCCUCACUUGGGAGCGGGGCGUGUGGGGUCCCCUUCCUUCCAUGCUGUGCUGCGUGAGUUCCUGCUGUCUUGUCUAAUCGUCUCCUUCAGUCCCGGCCUAAGCAGGCUUGUUGUUUUAACUCUCCCAUAAGACCACAGGAAGUGGACUGCAGUCGUCUUCCCCCAUCACUGAACAUCCGCUGUCUACUAUAGUGCCAAGCACAUAGGUGUGUUCAAUAAAUAUUCAUCGAGCAAAUGAGCAAUAUUCCACUCAUUCCAAAUCGUUUGGGAUGGCUGCAGCUUAGGGUGCCUUAUCAUGGCAGGCGGGUGCUGAGACUUUUUGACUUAAAAUGAAGACGAAAUUGUCUAAGGCGCCAUAAGCGAAUUUUAAGGAGGGUAACAGUCAGAUCUUAAAUUAGUUGGGAGCUGUGCUGAGUGGGUAGGCACAAACAGGCAUGUCUAGGCAGGAACCUGCUGCUGUGAGCUGCACAAGCAAGGAAGGUUUAAAUCAGGGGUGUCCAAUGUUUUGACUUCCCUGGGCCACGCUGGAAGAAUUGUCUUGGGCCACAUAUAAAAUGCACUAACAAUAGCUGGUGAGCUAAAACAAAACAAAACAAAAAACAAAAAAUUGCAGAAAAAGCUCAUCUUUUAAGGAAGUUUACAAAUUAGUGUUGGGUCGCAUUAAAGCAAUCAUGGGCGGCGUGCAGCCCGUGGGCCAUGGGUUGGACAAGCAUGGAACUUUAAACCAAGGCGGGGCAGUGGGAGCGAGAGUCACUGUGCAGAACUGACAGGACUUUGUAACCAAACUGGACGUGAAGUCUAAGUGGAGGAACUAAAGAUGAAUUUCAAGUUUCCAGGGGGUGCCACAAAAUAAAUGGAAUACAGGAGGAAGAGGAGAUGAAAAGAGGGAAAUCACGUUAUAUUUUAGAGGGUAAGGAAUUCAUGCAAUGACCACUUAGGGAACUGGAUAUAUGGUUUAUAGCUCUGAAGUGACAUCUGGCCUGGAGUUGAAGAAGUUGUAUGUAAUCAGCUUACAGGUAUUAAAGACUUGUGGAAAAAUCAGAUCACCCAAGGUUAAGUGUGUUAAAAUCAAAGGCCCAAAGAUGGAGUCCUUGGAAACCCCAAUAUUCCAGUCAGACAGAAGAACUGAGAUGAAGAAAACCCAGAGACAAGUCUUUCGGAGUCUAAGGAGAAAGUUUCAAAGACAGAGUUCUUAAUGAUGCUGCCAAGAAGCCAUAGAAGGGAAAACUAAAGAGCAGUAGCUUUAUUAAGCUACAGUACAAGCUAAGAUGACGUUUCUGGGUCAUUUUGGGAGUGGGGGUAGGGUAUGCAGGAAGAGAGCAGACAGAGGUAGCCGAGUAUAGAUGAUUCUUUCCAGCAGCUUUGCGGACACCAUGGAAAGAUCAUCUUCCCGUACUACUUUGUAGUAUAAUAAACUUUUCAUGCAUCCUUCAGGAAAGAUUUAGCAGGAAUAGUUUACAUACUCCUAAAACAGACCUAGAAAACCUGGCAUAUAAGGCAAAAAGGAACCUAAGUCAUUUAAAUUUAAAGAUAUGAAAUAGACGUUUUUAUGAAUAUUAUAUAAAUUUCAAAGUUGGCAAAACAAAUUGUUACAUAUAUUUUUUGAGACGGAGUCUGGCUCCAUUGCCAGACUGGAAUGCAGUGGCACAAUCUCGGCUCAUUGCAAUCUCCACCUCCCGGGUUCAAGCGAUUCCCCUGCCUCAACCUCCCGAGUAGCUGGGACUACAGGCUCCCACCACUAUGCCUGGCUAAUUUUUUUUAUUUUGGUAGAGACACGGUUUCCCCAUGUUGGCCAGGAUGGUCUCGAUCUCCUGACCUUGUGAUCCACCCGCCUCGGCCUCCCAAAGUGCUGGGAUUACAGGCGUGAGCCACCGCGCCUGGCCCUGGCUUUCUUGUAAUGGGAAUUGUUUGGGGAAACCACAACAUCCAACACAGGAAUGACGCUGUGAUUUUUAAAACUGCCCUGAACUGCUGUGCUUGCUUGAAAUUAAUGUCGACCUUAAGGCAAUACCAUUACCCAUAUUAAUAUUCUCCCAAGUAAUAAAGGAAUAUCAUAACUCUUCUAUUAUUGCUUUCACCUAACCUGUACUAUUAAGGAUAGAAAGACUAUUGAAGGGCAACUAUAAAAACCUUUUUUUUUGAGACGGAGUUUUCACUCAUUGCCCAGGCUGGAAUGUAGUGGUGCGAUUUUGGCUCACUGCAACCUCUGCCUCCCGGGUUCAAGUGAUUCUCCUGCCUCAGCCUCCCAAGUAGCUGGGAUUACAGGUGCCUACUACCAGGCCUGGCUAAUUUUUUUGUAUUUUUAGUAGAGAUGGAGUUUCACCAUGUUGGCCAGGCUGGUCUCGAACUCCUCAUCUCAAGUGAUCCACCCGCCUCGGCAGUAUGUCAAUUGCUUGUUACAGAAAUUAUAAACUCACAGGAAAAUAUUCAUUAUUUGAAGCAGAGCUGUCCUAAGAUAAUGCACACAAACCAACAAAAGACUAUUUAACAAAAAUAUUUAAUGCUGCCAAAAAGUAUAAAAAUACAGUAGGAAUGGCAGUACAAUACAAAG